UAACUUUUUUUCUAAUAUGGGAAGGGUGAUUAAGAUCUUUAUAACGACCCAACCGACUAGCAAUAAUAACUCAGUUAGAUCCAAACCACCAGCCCAAAAUACUUAAAUUCAAUUAUUAUUGUUAGGGUUCAUAGUCUCUUAUAUAUAUACCUCAUCAUACUUUUGUUAUCAUCCGAUGUGGGACUAUUAAGAUGCCUGCCCCGGCCUGUUUAGGCCCUGACGUUCUUGUCAGUUCAAUCACAUACAACCCAUGAUCACUAGGUGAUAUGAGACUUGUCUCGCUAGUCUUAGCUUACUCAUUCCGACCUUGCUUUAGUCUCUCAUUCUUAGACCCUGACUUAGCUUGUCAUUCCGACCCUAGCUCACCCGAAACUAAUCUCAUACUUCUAGCUAGUGAAUCGGCUCUAAUACCAAAUAUAACGACUCGAUCAGCUAGCAAAAAUAACUCUUUAGACUCAAACCACAAAAUCACUGAUCUAAAAUGCUUAAACCAAGUUGUUAUUAUUAUUAAAUUUCUUAUAUACCCAAUCACAAGUCCGUUUGCAUCCAAUGUGAGACU
rnacentral:lncRNA from 1 species